rnacentral:sRNA from 1 species
GCCAUCUUGGAUCCGCGGGACAAGAAAAUUCAUGCGAGGGAGACGUGGUGGGCGGUCCUUCCUGUGACACGACCCUUGAGUGACAGUUCUAUUUGAUUGCCUCCGGUACUGUGAGGAAAGGACACGACUCUAUGGUGAGGACUGAUGGACAUACAUUAUCUGAGAAAAGAAACUACCAGGUAAGACCAGUCUUUUUUCUUUUUUCUCUAUUGGUCUUAUAGCUACAUUGAAACUGUUUAAGUGUGUUAUAUGUAAUUGGAACCAGCAAAUUGGAUACACCUCAAUUUGAAAAUUUGGGUUUAUAAUUUUAAAUUAAGUACCGGAUUUGAUAGUUGAAAUAGUUGGGAACACUUUU